GUAUGUUGAAACGACACAUGGAUACUACAUAGGCACCAAGAGAUACUACUGCUCUGAAAGGGCUGCUGUGCGAGAUAAUCUGUUUUUGGAGCUUAUCAUCACUAGCAUAUGACAUCAUCAGUAAUGAAGCUAGCAAAGCUGUCUCGUCAAAGAUGGAUGUCAACUUUUUUGGGCCAGGUAAAGAGGCCACACAGGGGAACACGUGCCAUCCGCUGCUUCGUGCAGACGGUGAUGGCGGGAGUUUGACGCUGCAGUGAAGCAAUCAUGAAUCAUUUUCAACAUCAGGAAACUGAGUGAACACCUUGACCAUUAACACAACAAAACUGCAUGUGACUGUUGGCUGUGGAGUCUGACCUGCUGAGAGGAGUAUGAGUUUGCAAACACAAAGUCAAAGAAGCUCUUGCAAAGAUCUGGAACCAGUCUGGUCCCAUCUUCCAGGGUCUUGAGAAACUCAACCUGGAACUCCACCAUUUCCGGCAAGUUCCCGAACAGUACAUCCAGCUGGAGGAAAAGGGGAUUAGAGCAAAGUCAAAAUACAUUCUUCUCA